CCGGUAGACGAUGGGGAUGCGUUCCAUUAGAUAGUAGGCGGGGUAACGGCCCACCUAGUCUUCGAUGGAUAGGGGUUCUGAGAGGAAGGUCCCCCACAUUGGAACUGAGACACGGUCCAAACUCCUACGGGAGGCAGCAGUGAGGAAUAUUGGUCAAUGGGCGAGAGCCUGAACCAGCCAAGUAGCGUGAAGGAUGACUGCCCUAUGGGUUGUAAACUUCUUUUAUAAAGGAAUAAAGUCGGGUAUGCAUACCCGUUUGCAUGUACUUUAUGAAUAAGGAUCGGCUAACUCCGUGCCAGCAGCCGCGGUAAUACGGAGGAUCCGAGCGUUAUCCGGAUUUAUUGGGUUUAAAGGGAGCGUAGGUGGAUUGUUAAGUCAGUUGUGAAAGUUUGCGGCUCAACCGUAAAAUUGCAGUUGAUACUGGAUAUCUUGAGUGCAGUUGAGGCAGGCGGAAUUCGUGGUGUAGCGGUGAAAUGCUUAGAUAUCACGAAGAACUCCGAUUGCGAAGGCAGCCUGCUAAGCUGCAACUGACAUUGAGGCUCGAAAGUGUGGGUAUCAAACAGGAUUAGAUACCCUGGUAGUCCACACGGUAAACGAUGAAUACUCGCUGUUUGCGAUAUACUGCAA
rnacentral:rRNA from 1 species